AGCGAACGCUGGCGGCAGGCCUAACACAUGCAAGUCGAACGAACCUUUCGGGGUUAGUGGCGGACGGGUGAGUAACACGUGGGAACGUGCCCUUAGGUUCGGAAUAACUCAGGGAAACUUGUGCUAAUACCGAAUGUGCCCUUCUGGGGAAAGAUUAAUCGCCUUUAGAGCGGCCCGCGUCUGAUUAGCUAGUUGGUUGAGGUAAUGGCUCACCAAGGCGACGAUCAGUAGCUGGUCUGAGAGGAUGAUCAGCCACAUUGGGGCUGAGACACGGCCGAAACUCCUACGGGAGGGAGCAGUGGGGGAUCUAGCGCAAUGGGCGAAGGGCUGACGGAGCCAUGCCGGGUGAAUGAUGAAGGUCUUAGGAUUGUAAAAUUCUUUCACCGGGGACGAUAAUGACGGUACCCGGAGAAGAAGCCCCGGCUAACUUCGUG
rnacentral:rRNA from 1 species